UACGUAGGUGGCAAGCGUUGUUCGGAAUUAUUGGGCGUAAAGGGCGCGUAGGCGGUUUGUUAAGUCGGUCGUGAAAGCCCGGGGCUCAACCCCGGAGGGUCGACCGAUACUGGCAGACUAGAGUACAGAAGAGGUAACUGGAAUUCCCGGUGUAGCGGUGAAAUGCGUAGAUAUCGGGGGGAACACCAGAGGCGAAGGCGGGUUACUGGGCUGAUACUGACGCUGAUGCGCGAAAGCUAGGGGAGCAAACGGG
rnacentral:rRNA from 1 species